AGGCACCCUUUAGGUCGACCUCCAUCGCCUUCGCUGCCCUCCUGCACCUCUCAAACCAGCCAAGGUUAGUUUCGGAGCCCUUCUUUUUCUUACUAUUCUUUCAUUUUUCUUCCUCUGCAUUCCUCCCAUUCAGUUUCUCCACGAGUGCCUUGUUUCCUUUUUUUUUUAAUUUUUUUGAGAUUUUCAUUUGAUUCAAAAUGUCCUCCAACACUUCCUCUAGUGGUUCUAGAA
rnacentral:lncRNA from 1 species